rnacentral:rRNA from 1 species
UACGUAGGGUGCAAGCGUUGUCCGGAAUUAUUGGGCGUAAAGAGCUCGUAGGCGGUUCGUCGCGUCGGCUGUGAAAUCCCGAGGCUCAACCUCGGGUCUGCAGUCGAUACGGGCGGACUGGAGUUCGGCAGGGGAGACUGGAAUUCCUGGUGUAGCGGUGAAAUGCGCAGAUAUCAGGAGGAACACCGGUGGCGAAGGCGGGUCUCUGGGCCGAUAUAGACGCUGAGGAGCGAAAGCGUGGGGAGCGAACAGG